rnacentral:rRNA from 1 species
UUUCGGAUGGGAACUUUAAGGAUACUGCCAGUGACAAACUGGAGGAAGGCGGGGACGACGUCAAGUCAUCAUGGCCCUUACGGCCAGGGCUACACACGUGCUACAAUGGUCGGUACAAAGGGUUGCUACACAGCGAUGUGGUGCUAAUCUCAAAAAGCCGAUCGUAGUCCGGAUUGGAGUCUGCAACUCGACUCCAUGAAGUCGGAAUCGCUAGUAAUCGCGGAUCAGAAUGCCGCGGUGAAUACGUUCCCGGGCCUUGUACACACCGCCCGUCACACCAUGGGAGUUUGUUGCACCAGAAGUAGCUAGCCUAACUGCAAAGAGGGCGGUUACCACGGUGUGGCCGAUGACUGGGGUG